AAAAAGAAAAGAAAAAAGAUUUCUUAUGAGGCGUUGGCAGGUUUCCUGAGAUUGGAACUUAGAUAAUUUAUUGGACCCACCACCACCACCCGAGGGGUUUCAGGAGGCACUGUGAAGUCAAGCCUGGCUGCAUUCUGCAUGGUGUCAGCACCUGCUCUCCUUCCUCUCCACCACCCGUGUCUGGAAUGAUAAAGAUGAUGUAUGGGAAAGUCAAGUAUCUGAGCUGUACCUGGAGUAAGACCUCCCUUCCCUCUUUCUCCCAACCUUCAAAAAGUUGGAUGUAUCAUUUCCUUACAGGAAUUUUAUUCUUUUACUCAAUAAUAACUUCAAAAAAUAACCUCGAUACAUUAUAAAUGAUGUUGGUAAUACUAAGCAUGCUUCUGGCACCCACUUUUAGAUUUCCCUUUAGGUCAGCCCCACAUUCUUUUGGUGGAGCCUCAGAGGCAACCACUCUUUUCUCUUUCUGAUUGCUGAUCUAUGCUCUUUCAAUGUGACUAGAAGAGCAGAUUCAGCUACAUAGGCAUUUAGGACUUAAGUCUUUGCAUCUUUGGGGGGAUAUUAUCAGAGAUUUGGAUCUAAAAUGCAAUAUCUAUCUACACUCUAGUCAAACACGAGUCACAAUGAUAUUUAGAAUAAAAUAGGUAAGUCAAAGGGACUGCAUUGAAAUAAUGUCGAAGUUCAACUCAUAAUACUUUAGGGAAUGCAUGCUUUCUGUAUAUUUUGAGUGGGAAUAUAAUUAUGCUUCAGUAAGUGAGCUACUAAAUUGAAGAAGUAUAAAAAACCACCUUAUGAAAUUGUAAAGUAGAAUAUCAUCUUUUCUUCAGUCUCUGCAAAAGGUUUUUAAGGUCUUUUUUGCAUGCUCACUACAGGUCAAUGUCAGAAUCGCUCAUUAUAGUUCUUUGCCUCUGCCUUACUCUGCUGACAAAGCUGAAUCCCAUGGAAACUUGGCCAUUACACUAUAAUUGCAGUCAAACAGUAUUUGGAGCCAUUGUUACCAGAAACUUGAAAAAUUGGGAGUGGCAGAGGAGAAAAGACUAUGCCAGGAACCAGAAAAAAUACUUUGAUUCAAAGUUAGGCCGUAUCAUUGCCAUGGGCCGGGGAUGAAAAAAUUCUCUGACCAAAGAAGACCUGCAUCAAAGGGAGUGUCUACAGGAUUAUUGAAGAAUGCAUAGGUGAUGGAAUAUUGGUCUUGACUUUUUUUUAAUUUAUAAAAAUUUAUGAAUGCCUUUUUUCAUAAUCUUGUAAGGUGAAUAAUGAAGGAGUUAUUCUGAGACUUUUAUAUCUGUGUCCGAGACACUACCUCAUGGACGUUAUUCAUUGUACAUUUUUCUGUUCUGCCUGCUCUAUCCUCCUACUCACAAUUUUGGAACAUUUUUAAACCUUGAGAAAAGUUAAAGGAAUAAUAUGCUUUGCCCAUAGUUUCUUUACUUUCUGUAUCUUUUUUUUUCUGACUUCUUAAUAAUUUUUCUCCUCAUGACAACCUACUAUUGAAAAAUUUUUUGACACUGUAGAAACAGCCCUUAUUGGUUGCAACAUGGAUUGGAAGAGGAGAGGUUACAGCAGCUCCCACUCCUGGGCCAGCAUCCAAAAAGCUAAAAAGAAACUUUAUUGUGUAUAUUUAACAUAUACAAUGUGAUGUUAUGGGAUACAUAUAGACAGUAAAAUGGUUUCUGUAGUGAAGCAAAUUAACAUACCCAUCAUCUCAUAUAGGUACUGUGUGUGUGUGUGUGU